GUCUUCAGCCGUGCCACCCUGAACAAGCCCAAUCCCAUCUGAUCUUGGAAGCUAAACAAGGUCAGGCCUGGUUAGUACUUGGAUGAGAGACCACCUAGGAAGACCAGGUGCUGUAGGCA
rnacentral:rRNA from 1 species